AUGUUAAGUAGCACCGGCGCCCCGCACAUGUGCGUAACACCGUGGGCAGACAAGGCAGCGUACAUGUCGUCAGCCGCCGGCGUACGGAUGCAGACAUUGACGCCGCCCCGCGCAGCCACGCCCCACGUCAGGGUCCACCCAUUGCAGUGGAACAUGGGGAGUGACCAUAGGUACACGGGCUCGCUCCCGACCCCCCACUGGAGUAGGAGGCCCACGGUGCUCAGGUACGCGCCACGGUGGCUGUACACGACGCCCUUGAGAGCCGAGCUUGUCGUGCCGGAGGUGUAG
rnacentral:rRNA from 1 species